UACGUAGGUGGCAAGCGUUGUCCGGAUUUAUUGGGUUUAAAGGGUGUGUAGGCGGUCCUAUAAGUCAAUGCUGAAAUAUCCCGGCUUAACCGGGAGGGUGGCAUUGAUACUGCAGGACUUGAGUAAAGUUGAGGUUGGCGGAAUUGACGGUGUAGCGGUGAAAUGCUUAGAUAUCGUCAAGAACACCUAUUGCGAAGCAGCUAACUAAGCUUUAACUGACGCUGAGGCACGAAAGUGUGGGGAUCAAACAGG
rnacentral:rRNA from 1 species